UUCGCAAUGCCCGAAAGGGUGACGAAGCGACGCCGCGUGUGGGAAGAAGGCCUUCGGGUUGUAAACCACUGUCGGGAGUUAAGAAAUGUAAGGAUAUGAAUAGUAUCCUUACUUGACUAAGGCUCCGGAGGAAGCCACGGCUAACUCUGUGCCAGCAGCCGCGGUAAUACAGAGGCGGCAAGCGUUGUUCGGAAUUAUUGGGCGUAAAGCGCGUGUAGGCGGAUGGGAACGUCGGUCUUUGAAAGCCCCCGGCUCAACCGGGGAAGUGGAGCCGAAACGACCGAUCCGGAGGGACGUAGGGGGACCUGGAACUUCCGGUGGAGCGGUGAAAUGCGUUGAGAUCGGAAGGAACGCCCGUGGCGAAAGCGAGGUCCUGGACGUCUGCUGACGCUGAGACGCGAAAGCCAGGGGAGCGAACGGGAUUAGAUACCCCGGUAGUCCUAGCCCUAAACGAUGGGCACUAAGUAGAGGGGUUUU
rnacentral:rRNA from 1 species